CCCCCCUCCUCUCCCGGGUCUCUCUCCCUCUCUUCUCUCUUUCUCAGACUCUCGAGCGCCGGCCCCAGGAUGACAAUCACAUCCCAGGCGCGCCGAUCUUUUCCAACUUUCCUUCCCAGCUAAGUCGGGGUGGAGCGGCGGAUCCGACGCAAGGCGGGCCCUGGUGGCGGGUCCGGUCGCUCCGAGGCACAAAGGCGACGAGGCGGCUGACUGGGCGCCCGCGAGCGCUCCGCUCUGUGCCGGCCGCAGGAAACCGCGCAAUUAGCGGACGUCUUGCUCCGCGAGAGGCUGGGCUCCCAGGCGGACCGCCGCCUACCUGCCCCCGGCUUCUCCCCCCCCAGCCGGGGAGCCGGGGAGCCAGUUGGAGACCCGGAAUGGAGGUCCCUGGGAGAGACGGAGGGGUGCCUUCGUCCAGGGCGCAGGGGGGCCGAGAUGAGCGGCCCUCUCCGCCAGCAGCAGCAGAAUCUACAGUUCAUAAUGGAGCUUCUGUACUGGCUAUCGGAAGGAGGAGAUUCGGAAGAUAGGGAGAUUUGGAUAUCAGGCUUUGAAACUUCCUGUGGUCUGUUCAAUCUAGACACAAAGGACCUGGGACAAUCAAGUGCUCAAGAGGAAAUGAAGUUUUUCUUCUGGAUACACCAGAUCUUUGAUGAUGCCAGUAAAGAAACAUUCACACCCUUUGGUUAAAAGAUGAAGCAUGAGGCUGUGGUUAUUUUAAUCAGUUAUUCCAUGGAAGGUUGAAAGCUGCUAAGCAGAAUGAAUCUUACGACAGAGAGCAGUAGAGCUCAAGAAGGUGGUUGAGGAUCUCACCAGUUUGGAUGAGGAAAUAACUUUGGUGAGCAUCAUCUCAAGUAGCCAUGCUAUGGCCUUCUUUCAUUGAUCAUCAAGCAAGAAUCCUCAGCAGGAACUUUCUUCCUGACAGUUCCCUCCGCCUGGAAAUCUUUUCCCAGAUGGUCACAUAACUGCUGUGUUCAGUUUCUUCUGGCCUGAAAUCAAGAGGCACCUUCUCCAAGAGGCCUGCCCCAACCCCAGAUCCCAAAGAACCCCUUAUCUGAGGUGUAUUCUGGCAUCUCUUUUAUUUUCUCUUUAGCACAUAGUACUUUGUGUUAAGAACCCUAGAGUUCCAGGGUUUGGUGAGAAUAGAUUUUAAAAAUAUGUCGAUAGGCCAAUAUUGUGUCAUUUUUAAAUUGCCACCAUCUGCUUUAAGAUGAAUCUUUAAGGAAUCUCCGUAGCAUAAAGUAUUCUGAGGGCUUACGAUACAUUCCCUGUCUUUUUAAGGACCCAGGUCAUUACUGAGGAUGACAUACAAAUAUGAGGCUGGGUCAAAUGCCUAUAUGUGGUCAACUUACAGGUUUUAAAUAACUUGUAUGUGUAAUC